GCCAGCAGCCAUAUCACCCUGCAAGUUGGCAGCCCACUGAAGCUAAGCAGGUGUGAGCCUGGUCAGUACCUGGAUGGGAGACCUCCUGGAAAAACUAAGGUUGCUGCUCGAA
rnacentral:rRNA from 1 species